rnacentral:rRNA from 1 species
UGGGGAAUAUUGCACAAUGGGCGCAAGCCUGAUGCAGCCAUGCCGCGUGUGUGAAGAAGGCCUUCGGGUUGUAAAGCACUUUCAGCGGGGAGGAAGGGAGUAAAGUUAAUACCUUUGCUCAUUGACGUUACCCGCAGAAGAAGCACCGGCUAACUCCGUGCCAGCAGCCGCGGUAAUACGGAGGGUGCAAGCGUUAAUCGGAAUUACUGGGCGUAAAGCGCACGCAGGCGGUUUGUUAAGUCAGAUGUGAAAUCCCCGGGCUCAACCUGGGAACUGCAUUCGAAACUGGCAGGCUAGAGUCUUGUAGAGGGGGGUAGAAUUCCAGGUGUAGCGGUGAAAUGCGUAGAGAUCUGGAGGAAUACCGGUGGCGAAGGCGGCCCCCUGGACGAAGACUGACGCUCAGGUGCGAAAGCGUGGGGAGCAAACAGG